AGAAGGAGUGUGGUCCACCGGAGGACUCCCUACAUUCUUCCUCCAUUACCUCACUGCCUCCGGUGGCUGCUGGGAUACCGGAGGACUCGGGUCCCGGCUCGACUCAGUCCUCCAGCCGCCCGGGGAAUACCUCUAGUUCUUCCCGGCCGCCGCCGCCGCCGCCGCCCCGCCGCUUCCUCCUCCGCCUGCCGGCCUCCUUCGCCCCGUCCCGUCCGCGCAGCGCGUCCGGCCCGCCCGCAGGCCAGCUUCUCUCGGGAGCCCCCACCCAGGCGCAUGGCUCCAUGAAGCAAGAGGAGGAGGCAGAGCGCGAGAGGUCCCGUCCGCCCCAGCCGCGUCUGGGCCAGGAUAAAAGCAAAACCAUAUUCCUGCUGCUGUCAGUUAUGAUGCACUGAGAAAACUUCAGAGACCUAAACUUUUUCCAGAGAAGAGAAGCUUUACUGGUGUUCCAGCCCUAAGAAACCUUUGUUCAAGAAAACGGCAGAUGCUCUGUUGAAUCCACUGGAGAUUGUUCUGAUACUAAGGACAAGUAUCAACCAUCUUUCCUGUGAAAAAUUCCCUCUCGUACUUUAGUUCUGUGGAUCCAAAAUUUAUAGCAUUCUUCUACCACCACAGGGGCUCAUAUGACAUUAACAGACAAGACACUUUUCAGAAAGACAG
rnacentral:lncRNA from 1 species